CCUACGGGCCGCACCAGUGGGGAAUUUUGGACAAUGGGCGAGAGCCUGAUCCAGCAAUGCCGCGUGCAGGAUGAAGGCCCUCGGGUUGUAAACUGCUUUUGUACGGAACGAAAAGCCUGGGGCUAAUAUCCUCGGGUCAUGACGGUACCGUAAGAAUAAGCACCGGCUAACUACGUGCCAGCAGCCGCGGUAAUACGUAGGGUGCAAGCGUUAAUCGGAAUCACAGGGCGUAAAGCGUGCGCAGGCGGUUUUGUAAGACAGUGGUGAAAUCCCCGGGCUCAACCUGGGAACUGCCAUUGUGACUGCAAGGCUAGAGUGCGGCAGAGGGGGAUGGAAUUCCGCGUGUAGCAGUGAAUGCGUAGAUAUGCGGAGGAACACCGAUGGCGAAGGCAAUCCCCUGGGCCUGCACUGACGCUCAUGCACGAAAGCGUGGGGAGCAAACAGGAUUAGAUACCCUUGUAGUC
rnacentral:rRNA from 1 species